rnacentral:lncRNA from 1 species
GUCGAGCUCGGAGCUCCUGAGUGCCUCUUCCCAAUCGGACUAACUGGAUCCGGACAGUAGCAGAAUUCACAUCGUAUCCUGCGAUGCCCAGGGGUUCGGCUGUUUCGACAAUGCUUCGCAGCGGCUCGGUGACCCAUGCCAGCGUACUUGGCGUCUUCUCCAUCUGGUACUUUGGGGUUCUGUCGAUCAAGUGUUCUGCACGACCGAGCGUGCUUCUCAGCGAGUUGCGUUCUCCCCGCAAUCGAGAUGCUCAACUAUUGGUGGACCAAGAGCAGCAGAGUUCAAGGACCAUCAAAUGGUGGGUGAAGAGGAGUAUGCUGGAUGUCGGCGAAAGUCAAGGUGAUACCGUGAGCGGCUCCUGCGGUGUGCGUCUGCUUCGAAGAACUCGCUCACAUCGGGGAAGAAGCGUCGAUUAAAGGCAGCCGCGACGUGAGCGUGUGCUUACGCGAACGAAUGCGUGACCACCCUGUAUUCAUUGGAUAUGCCCUUUGACUCUGCGCAAUGUUUGUGCGCUGGACGUCGUAUAUGUACAUAUAUCUCGUGAUAAUUUUCGGUUAUUGUCUAUUGCUUUAUUCUGUUUAGCUGGUCUUGUUAUUGUUUAAUACCAUGACCAUGUUCAUGGAUGGCUUAGCCGGCUUGAACAUUGGCUGACGUGGCAUAUUUUCCGUGCAUAAUAUUAAAGAAAAGUU